rnacentral:rRNA from 1 species
AUUGAACGCUGGCGGCAUGCCUUACACAUGCAAGUCGAACGGUAACAGGUCUUUCGGGAUGCUGACGAGUGGCGAACGGGUGAGUAAUACAUCGGAACGUGCCUAGUAGUGGGGGAUAACUACUCGAAAGAGUGGCUAAUACCGCAUGAGAUCUAUGGAUGAAAGCAGGGGACCUUCGGGCCUUGUGCUACUAGAGCGGCCGAUGGCAGAUUAGGUUGUUGGUGGGAUAAAAGCUUACCAAGCCUACGAUCUGUAGCUGGUCUGAGAGGACGAUGAGCACCACUGGGAAUGAGACACGGCCCAGGCUCCUACGGGAGGCAGCAGUGGGGAAUUUUGGACAAUGGGCGCAAGCCUGAUCCAGCAGUGCCGCGUGCAGGAUGAAUGCCUUCGGGUUGUAAACUGCUUUUGUACGGAACGAAAAGUCUUGGGUUAAUACCCUGGGAUCAUGACGGUACCGUAAGAAUAAGCACCGGCUAACUACGUGCCAGCAGCCGCCGUAAUAC